rnacentral:rRNA from 1 species
GUCCACGCCCUAAACGAUGCCAACUAGGUGUUGGGAAGGAGACUUCCUUAGUACCGUAGCUAACGCGUGAAGUUGGCCGCCUGGGGAGUACGGUCGCAAGAUUAAACUCAAAGGAAUUGACGGGACCCGCACAAGCGGUGGAUGAUGUGGAUUAAUUCGAUGCAACGCGAAAACCUUACCUACCCUUGACAUGCCAGGAACUUGCCAGAGAUGGCUUGGUGCCCGAAAGGGAGCCUGGACACAGGUGCUGCAUGGCUGUCGU